CUUCAAGCUCCACCUCCCAGGUUCAAGCAAUUCUCCUGCCCCAGCCUCCCGAGUAGCUGGGACUAAAGACAUGUGCCACCAAGCCCAGCUAAUUUUUUGUAUUUUUAGUAGAGAAAGGGUUUCACUCUGUUAGCCAGGAUGGUCUCUAUCCCCUGAGCUCGUGAUCUGCCUGCCUAGGUCUCCCAAAGUGCUGGGAUUGCAGGCAUGAGCCACCAUGCCCAGCCUAAUGUAUUUUCUUCAGAAUAUUUUGAAGAAUUGAAAAGUAUUGAAAUGCAUUAAAUUAAUCCACUCCAGACAUCUGUUACCAAAACACCAAGGUUUGGUCUAGGUCUUGCUGCUUGCUGCACAGAAAGCCGAUUAUUCAGAGGACAAGUAUUGCCAAGGAAGUGCAGCAGGAUAAUUUAGGAAUCAGAGAGACAGAGGGGUUGAGGAGGGUGCUUAUUAUUUAUUAUUUAGGUGCACUGGCCCAGUCAGAUUAACAUCCAAAAAGACUGAGCCCUGAACAAAGAGUCCGGUUACCUUUUAAGCAUUUUGUGGGGCAGGGGGAGAUCUGUGCAGGGGGAAGCAUAUUACAGAAGUGAGAAACAGACAGUUAUUCAAUUGAGACAUGCAUUACAUCAUUUCUUACUUUUCAAGGAAAAACAUGUUUUACGACUUGAGUUUAUCUGCCUAGUGACCUUGCAGUUGCACAGCUAGAGAAACAGGGUCUUCACAAUGCCUGGGAAAGGGAGAGAUAAGGCUCACUAGCCACAGAAAAACAGGCAAUUAAUUUUUAAAGGACUUCAGCUCUUUCUUUUCCUCAGGGGGAAUUGGUUUUUUUUUACAUACAACUGAGUUUUUGCUUACACAUUCUUUAAUUUCUUUUAAUUCCUGUUUCAGAAGAAGGCUUUAAUUGUGUGCUGCAGCCAAGGAGAUGUGAGCUCAAUCUCAAAUCCAUCGCCCUGACCAACUAAAACUAGGAGUUUCUAUAGCAGGUGGGCGUCGGCUCGGCAGGCCCCGCACUCAGAGCAGCCGGCCAGCACCACUGGCCCCAGGCACUGAGCUGCUUAGCACCCGGGCCAGCAGGUGCGGAGGGUGCGCCGGGUUCCCCAGCAGUGCUGGCCCGCUGGCGCUGUGCUCGAAUUCUCGCCAGGCCUCAGCUGCCUCCUUACAGGGCAGGGCUCCAGACCUGCAGCCAGCCAUGCCCAAGCCUCCCCACCCCCCUACCCCCGCCGUGGGCUUCUGCAUGGCGCAGCCUCCCCAACAAGUGCCGCCCCCUGCUCCUCGACGCCCGGUCCCAUCGAUCACCCAAGGGCUGAGUAGUGCAGGCACAGGGCGCGGGACUGGUGGGCAGCUCCGCCUGCGGCACUGGUGUAGGAUCCACUAGGUGAAGCCAGCUGGGUUCCUGAGUCUAGUGGAGACUUGGAGAACCUUUAUGUCUAGCUAAGGGAUUGUAGAUACACCAAUCAGCACUCUGUGUCUAGCUCAAGGCUUGUAAAUGCACCAAUCAGCACUCUGUGUCUAGCUCAAGGUUUUGAAUGCACCAAUCAGCACUCUGUAUCUGGCUAAUCUGGUGGGGACUUGGAGAACCUUUAUGUCUAGCUAAGGGAUUGUGGAUGAACCAAUCAGCACCCUGUGUCUAGCUCAAGGUUGGUAAAUGCACCAAUCAGUGCUCUGUGUCUAGCUAAUCUAGUGGGGACUUGGAGAACUUUUGGGUCUAGCUCAGGGAUUGUAAAUGCACCAAUCAGCACCUUGUCAAAACGGACCAGUUAGCUCUCUGUAAAAUGGACCAAUCAGCAGGAUGUGGGUGGGGCCAGAUAAGGGAAUAAAAUCAGGCUGCCCGAGCCAGUAGUGGCAACCCACUGGGGUCCCCUUCCACACUGUGGAAGCUUUGUUCUUUCGCUCUUUGCAAUAAAGCUUCCUGUUGCUCACUCUUUGGGUCCGCACUUCCUUUAUGAGCUGUAACACUCACUGCGAGGGUCCGCGGCUUCAUUCUUGAAGUCAGUGAGACCAAGAAUCCACCAAUUCCAGACACAAAAGGAUUAGAUAUUAGAGAUUUGUUUAGCCAAAUCCCUGAACAGGUCAGUUUUAACCGGCAUGAUAAAGCAAUUCUCUCUGCUUUAAUCUUUAGAAGGAAAGUAACAUUGAAAUGACCAAUUCACUUUUUGUUCUCUGUUUCUGCUUUCUUCAGCCCUUUUCUGGAUGUAAAGCCAGCCUCCUCUGCUU
rnacentral:lncRNA from 1 species